rnacentral:lncRNA from 1 species
GGGUGCUCCGGGAGUACGGGGUCGGGGCCCUCUGUUAAGGGCCGUGCGGUCCCUGUACUGCCGGAGCAGGAGCCUGGUUCGCAUUGCCGGCAGUAAGUCAGACCUGUUCCCAGUGCAUGUUGGACUCCGGCAGGGCUGCCCUUUGUCACCGGUUCUGUUCAUUACUUUUAUGGACAGAAUUUCUAGGCGCAGCCACGGGCCGGAGGGGAUCUGGUUCGGGAGCCAAUGGAUCUCGUCUCUGCUUUUCGCGGAUGACGUGGUCUUGUUGGCUCCUUCGAGCCGGGACCUCCAGCAUGCCCUGGGGCGGUUUGCAGCCGAGUGUGAAGCGGCUGGGAUGAGAAUCAGCACCUCCAAAUCCGAGGCCAUGGUUCUCGACCGGAAAAAGGUGGCCUGCUCCCUCCAGGUGGGAGGAGAGUUCCUGCCUCAAGUGGAGGAGUUUAAGUAUCUUGGGGUCUUGUUCACGAGUGAGGGAAGGACGGAGCGUGAGAUUGACAGACGGAUCGGUGCAGCGGCCGCAGUAAUGCGGUCUUUGUAUCGGUCUGUCGUGGUGAAGAGAGAGCUGAGCCGAAAGGCGAAGCUCUCGAUUUACCAGUCAAUCUACGUUCCGACCCUCACCUAUGGCCAUGAACUCUGGGUCAUGACCGAAAGAAUAAGAUCCCGGAUACAAGCGGCCGAAAUGAGUUUCCUCCGCAGGGUGGCAGGGCGCUCCCUUAGAGAUAGGGUGAAGAGCUCUGUCACCCGGGAGGAGCUCAGAGUAGAGCCGCUGCUCCUCCACAUCGAGAGGAGCCAGCUGAGGUGGCUCGGGCAUCUGUUUCGGAUGCCCCCGGGACGCCUCCCUCGGGAGGUGUUCCUGGCAUGUCCCUCCGGGAGGAGACCCCGAGGAAGACCCAGGACACGCUGGUGUGACUAUGUCACUCAGCUGGCCUGGGAACGCCUUGGGGUCCUCCCGGAAGAGCUGGAGGCAGUAUCCGGGGAGAGGGAAGUCUGGGUGUCCCUGCUCAGGCAGCUGCCCCCGCGACCCGGCCCCGGAUAAGCGGAAGAAAAUGGAUGGAUGGAUGGAUAGAUUGUACAUUUGGACUCAAAUACCACCUUGAUCUAAAUAUUUAACCAUAUCAGUUUAUU